rnacentral:pre_miRNA from 1 species
ACCUGGCAUACAAUGUAGAAUUCUGUUUGUUAAGCAACAGCUACAUUGUCUGCUGGGUUUC